UACGGAGGGUGCAAGCGUCGUUCGGAAUCACUGGGCGUAAAGGGCGCGUAGGCGGUCCCACAAGUCCGAUGUGAAAGCCCGGGGCUCAACCCCGGAAGUGCAUUGGAAACUGUGGGACUUGAGUUCGGGAGAGGAAGGCAGAAUUCCCGGUGUAGGGUUGAAAUCCGUAGAUAUCGGGAGGAAAACCGGUGGCGAAGGCGGCCUUCUGGAACGAAACUGACGCUGAGGCGCGAAAGCGUGGGGAGCAAACAGG
rnacentral:rRNA from 1 species